CGGGGUAUAGCGCAGUUGGUAGCGCGCAUCGUUCGGGACGAUGAGGCCCGCAGUUCGAGUCUGCGUACCCCGA
rnacentral:tRNA from 1 species